GUGCUUCAAAUCCCUGGAUACUUUUGUCUCCUAGAAGUGAGAACUGUGAGCUCCUUAGUGUUCCACCAGGAAGACAAAGAGACUGGGUAAGUAUACAGAGCUCCUGCCUCUCCAGAUUUCUCCUACCAUGAAGAUAAAUGAUCUGGUUAAUAAAUUAAUGCAUGUCUCUACAGAUUUCUGUUUUAAGAUUAGUCUACAGCAUGACUGCAGAGCUAAAACAAGGCAAUAGAUAUAUGGAAUCUCAAACACAAAUAAAGGAAAUUUAGAGGA
rnacentral:lncRNA from 1 species